rnacentral:rRNA from 1 species
AUUGAACGCUGGCGGCAGGCCUAACACAUGCAAGUCGAACGGUAACAGGAAGCAGCUUGCUGCUUUGCUGACGAGUGGCGGACGGGUGAGUAAUGUCUGGGAAACUGCCCGAUGGAGGGGGAUAACUACUGGAAACGGUAGCUAAUACCGCAUAACGUCGCAAGACCAAAGAGGGGGACCUUAGGGCCUCUUGCCAUCGGAUGUGCCCAGAUGGGAUUAGCUAGUAGGUGGGGUUACGGCUCACCUAUGCGACGAACCCUAGCUGGUCUGAGAGGAUGACCAGCCAAACUGGGACUGGGGCACGGUCCAGACUCCUACGGGAGGCAGCAGGGGGGGAUAUUGCAGAAAGGGCGCAAUGCGGAAGAAUGCAUGCCGGGUGUAUGAAGGAGGCCUUCAGGUUGUAAAAGACUUGCAGCGGGGAGGGAGGGAGUGAAGUUAAUACCGUUACUCUUUGACGUUACCCGCAGAAGAAACACCCGGUAAACCCGGGC